rnacentral:rRNA from 1 species
UACAGAGGUCUCAAGCGUUGUUCGGAUUCAUUGGGCGUAAAGGGCGCGUAGGUGGCUUCUUAAGCGUGCGGUGAAAGCCUGGGGCUCAACCCCGGGUCGGCCGUGCGAACUGGGGGGCUGGAGCACUGUAGAGGCAGGCGGAAUUCCGGGUGUAGCGGUGGAAUGCGUAGAGAUCCGGAAGAACACCGGUGGCGAAGGCGGCCUGCUGGGCAGUUGCUGACACUGAGGCGCGACAGCGUGGGGAGCAAACAGG